rnacentral:rRNA from 1 species
GAUGAACGCUGGCGGCGUGCCUAACACAUGCAAGUCGAGCGGCAGCGAGGGGUGCUUGCACCCUGCCGGCGAGCGGCGGACGGCUGAGUAACGCGUGGGAACGUGCCCCAAAGUGAGGAAUAACUGCCCGAAAGGGUAGCUAAUACCGCAUAUUAUCUUCGGAUCAAAGGAUUUAUCCGCUUUGGGAGCGGCUCGCGUCGGAUUAGGUAGUUGGUGAGGUAAUGGCUCACCAAGCCGACGAUCCGUAGCUGGUCUGAGAGGAUGACCAGCCAGACUGGAACUGAGACACGGCCCAGACUCCUACGGGAGGCAGCAGUGAGGAAUCUUCCACAAUGGGCGAAAGCCUGAUGGAGCAACGCCGCGUGCAGGACGAAGGCCUUCGGGUUGUAAACUGCUUUUAUAAGUGAGGAAUAUGACGGUAACUUAUGAAUAAGGAUCGGCUAACUACGUG